rnacentral:rRNA from 1 species
UACGUAGGGGGCAAGCGUUGUCCCGGAUUUAUUGGGCGUAAAGAGCUCGUAGGCGGUUUGUCGCGUCUGCUGUGAAAACUCGGGGCUUAACUCCGGGCCUGCAGUGGGUACGGGCAGACUAGAGUGCGGUAGGGGAGACUGGAAUUCCUGGUGUAGCGGUGAAAUGCGCAGAUAUCAGGAGGAACACCGGUGGCGAAGGCGGGUCUCUGGGCCGUAACUGACGCUGAGGAGCGAAAGCGUGGGGAGCGAACAGG